rnacentral:rRNA from 1 species
ACCGUGAGGGAAAGGUGAAAAGCACCCCGGAAGGGGAGUGAAAUAGAACCUGAAACCGUGUGCUUACAAGUAGUCAGAGCCCGUUAAUGGGUGAUGGCGUGCCUUUUGUAGAAUGAACCGGCGAGUUACGAUUUGAUGCAAGGUUAAGCAGUAAAUGUGGAGCCGUAGCGAAAGCGAGUCUGAAUAGGGCGUUUAGUAUUUGGUCGUAGACCCGAAACCAGGUGAUCUACCCUUGGUCAGGUUGAAGUUCAGGUA